GGCCCAGCUGAGCUAGCGGGCGCGCCCCCCGCUGAAGGCAGCGCGCCUCUUACCUUCUUCCUCCGCCUCUUCUUCCUCCUCCUCCUCCUCGUCUGCAGCGGCGGCGGCGCGGCGGCGGCGGCGGCGGCGACGGCGGCGGGACUAGGGCGCCCGUGUCCCCGAGCCCGACACGGGCGUGGGGCUCAGUGGCGCCGGGCAGCGGGGCGGGCAGAGGCUGGCGGGGCGGCAGCAGCUGGCCCGGGACUCGCGGAGCCGGCGCGCAGGCGGCGGGCUGCGGGAAGGCUGGCAGCGGCGCGCGCGGACUCCUCGGGCGGGCUCCAUGGCUGCGCCGCGGGCGGCACCAUCGCCGUGGCUCGCUAGUCGCUCUCUCGCUCCAGGAGUGCGGCAGGCGGCGAGAGGAGAAAACCAAGACUCACGUUGCAGUAAAUGAUGGAACCUGGAUUCUAAACAGAUACCGAGGGUUUCCAGAGACCUCAGGACAUCCUGGGAUUGCCAAGGACUCCCUGCCAUGAUACCCUUUCAGACCUGCUGGUGUAGUGCACUCCUCCGAACAUCAGCCUUCUCACCUGUGCCUUUUUCUCAUCAUAUUUUUAAAAAGAUUUAUAUAUUAUUUAUUUGAGGGGAGAGGUGCAGAGGGGAGAGAGAGAGAGAAUCCCAAGGAGACUCUUCACUGAGCAGGGAGCCCAGAUGCAGGGCCCGAUCUUAGGACCCUGAGAUCAAACCUCAUGCUGAGUCCCAGUCCCUCCUCUAAUUGUUAGCUCUGAGAAAACAAUCCUGUCUCCCUCAAAAUUAAAAAAACAACAACAACUGCUGUGCUUCAAAAGACAAGAUUACCAGAGUGAAAAGGCAACCCAUGAAAUGAGAGAAAAAAAUGUGUAAACCGUGCAUCUGAUAAGGGAUGAGUAGCCAGAAUAUAUAAAGAACACUUAUAACUCAAAAUCUAAAGAGGAAAGAACUGAGUUUUAAAAUAGGCAAAUGACUUUAAUAGCUGUUUCUCCAGAGAAGACAUAUAAAUGGCCAAUAAGUACGUGAAAAGUUCCUCACGAUAACCAGGCAUUAGGGAAAUUAAAAUCAAAAACCACAAUGGGAUACCACUUUAUCCAUUAUGAUGGCCCACUGUAAAUAACAACAAUGACAGAGAAUGCCAAGCAUUGACUAGGGUGUGGAGAACCUGGAACCAUUAUAUACACCACUGUUGAAAAGGCAAAAUGAUGGGGCAGCCGUGGAAAAUGAUAUGGUGAAUCUUCAAAAAAUUAAACAUAAAAUUACCAGGAGGAGGUGCCUGGGUGGCUCAGUAGGUUAGGCAGCAGACUCUUGGUUUUGGCUCGGGUCAUGAUCUCAGGGUGGUGAGAUCAAGCCCCAUGUAGGGAUUAGGGAUUCUGCCUGAAGAUUCUCUCUCUCUGCCACCCCCCUCAAUUCUUGCACAUGUGCACACUCUCUCUCUUCUCUCUACAAAUAAAUAAAUAAAUCUAAAAAAAUAAAAUUACCA
rnacentral:lncRNA from 12 species